rnacentral:rRNA from 1 species
AUUGAACGCUGGCGGCAUGCUUUACACAUGCAAGUCGAACGGCAGCGCGGGCUUCGGCCUGGCGGCGAGUGGCGAACGGGUGAGUAAUAUAUCGGAACGUACCCAAGAGUGGGGGAUAACGUAGCGAAAGUUACGCUAAUACCGCAUACGAUCUAAGGAUGAAAGCAGGGGAUCGCAAGACCUUGUGCUCCUGGAGCGGCCGAUAUCUGAUUAGCUAGUUGGUGGGGUAAAGGCCCCACCAAGGCAACGAUCAGUAGCUGGUCUGAGAGGACGACCAGCCACACUGGAACUGAGACACGGUCCAGACUCCUACGGGAGCAGCAGUGGGAAUUUGGACAAUGGGGCAACCCUGAUCCAGCAAUGCCGCGUGAGUGAAGAAAGGCCUUCGGGUUGUUAAAGG